UACGUAGGGGGCAAGCGUUGUCCGGAAUCAUUGGGCGUAAAGCGCGCGUAGGCGGCCCGGUAAGUCCGCUCUGAAAGUCCAGGGCUCAACCCUGGAAAGCGGGUGGAUACUGCCGGGCUAGAACCCGGAAGAGGCGAGUGGAAUUCCUGGUGUAGCGGUGGAAUGCGCAGAUAUCAGGAGGAACACCAAUAGCGAAGGCAGCUCGCUGGGACGGUAUUGACGCUAAGGCGCGAAAGCGUGGGGAGCAAACAGG
rnacentral:rRNA from 1 species